rnacentral:lncRNA from 1 species
GGGUAGUAUAAGGAGGAUGGAAGAGGGGAAGAAAAUGCCAGACUGUGAGAGUCGUAAGCCGAGGGCCAUCGCUGUGAUAGUGUGAACCGAGGGCCAGACUGUGAGAGUCAUAAGCCGAGGGCCAGACUGUGAGAGUCGUGAGCCGGGGUAAGGUUUGUGCUACCUCUUUUCUUUUAUUUGUUAUUUUCUUUGAAUAAGAGGAUUGAGAGUUUCUGAAUAUUGUGAAGUGAAUUAUGGAAUGGAAAUGUGAUUAGUACUAUUUGAGAACAAGAAAGAUUGAAUGUUGAAAUCUAAUU